rnacentral:rRNA from 1 species
CCCUUAGAUGUUCUGGGCCGCACGCGCGCUACACUGAUGAAUGCAACGAGCUCUACCCUUGACCGAAAGGCCCGGGUAAACUUGUGAAACUUCGUCGUGAUGGGGAUAGAUUAUUGCAAUUAUUAAUCUUCAACGAGGAAUUCCUAGUAAGCGCGAGUCAUCAGCUCGCGUUGAUUACGUCCCUGCCCUUUGUACACACCGCCCGUCGCUCCUACCGAUUGAAUGGUCCGGUGAAAUCUUCGGAUUGCUGACCAAGAUCCAGCAAUGGAGCUUGGUUGCGAGAAGUUGAUUAAACCUUAUUAUUUAGAGGAAGGAGAAGUCGUAACA